ensembl:lncRNA
GAGGGAGAAAAUCUUUCAAGCAGACUUCCUGCUGAGGGAGGAGCCCAACCACUCAGGGGCUCGAUCCCACAACCCAUCACAUCAUGGCCUGAGCUGAAACCAAGAGUUGGAAACUUAACCAACUGAGCCACCCAGGCACCCCUGGCCAUCAUUAAGUAACAUCAUAACAUCAGAACCUGCAUCUGACCACACAAAGCUUAAAGUACCAUAAAGCUUCUCGAAGCAGAGUUCCUUCAGUCAGAAAAGUCACAUCUAGGAAAACUUAUUUCUUUCUGGUACGUCUGGUGAUCCUUCCAAGUUGGGAAGUAAAACUUGUUCUCUUAUUUUACAGUAAAAGAGACACCUUAGAAGAUUGUAAUUUUGAGAACAUCGAAUGAGGUGGCUCCUAUGGAACUCCCAGGAUCCCAUGCGCUCCAGCUCCCCAUGGGAUGAGUGGUCAAGGCAGCAGCAGCUGUGGCCUGCUUGCGCAGUUCUAGAAGCUUCUUCUGACGCUCAGCGCCCAUAAGCCACAGAGCUCACUCUGUGGGCUCCAACCGAACCCUAUUUGCCCUCUUGGGAAACCACAGACUCCACCAACCCCGACCAGGCCCUGUGCUGUUCAAAAGAGAACAUUUCCUAGGUGAAGGGAACAGCUCUCCUCCACAGGAGGCUGGCAGUUUGUCUGGGUCAGAAAUAGCAAGCAAUACCCUGAGGCUGUUACUGAGGAAAGAGACUCCAGUAACCAGCAGCAGUGGCCUCCGGGCCUGAAUUCUAGAUACUUCGCUACUGCACGAGGGACAACUGGCCCUGAGGAUAUGGGUGAGUGCCUCUUAUUUUAUUAAUUAUUGAUAGAGUGGUGUUGAAAUCCUAGACUGUAAAUGUGAGUUUGUUCCUCUUUGCCCUUCUAUCAGUUUUUUCUUCAUAUGUAUUGAAGCUCUGUACUGAAAACAUAAAUAUUUAGGAUUAUUAUGCCUCUUAAGUUGACCUCUUUAUUAUUGUGAAAUGAUCCUCUUUAUUCUUGGUGAUAUCUUAUGCUCUAAAACCUACCCUGUUGUUUAUGUACUAAACUGUUUUUGAGUAGUGUUAACAUGGUGUUGAGUCAGGGUUCCUCACGGGUUCUCCUGAGUUCUCCAAAGGAACGAAACAGUAAAUGACAAACUGUGUAUGUAUAUAGGUGUGUGUGUGUGUGUAUGUAUAAGCAUAUGUAUAUAUCUAAAACCUUAUUGGUAACAAUAAUAUAUAUAUUUUAGAAGAGGUAUUAUAAAGAAUGGUCUCAUGCAGUUAUGGAGGCUGGCAAGUGCUGGUAUCUGCAGGAUGAGUCAGCAAGCUUGGAGACCCAGGAAAGCCCGCUGGCCUUGUCCAGUUAGAGUCUGAAGGCCUGAGAACCAGGGGAACCGAUGGUGUGGUUCCAGUCCAAAGACUGACAGACUGUGUACGCACGAAGAGCCAGUGUUUCAGUUUGAGUCCCAAGAUAGGAAAAAGCUCAUUUUCCAGUUCAAAAGCAGUCAGGCAGGAAGAAUUCUCUCUUACUUAGAAAGGGUCUUUUUUGUUUUAUUCAGGCUGAUGGGAGGAAACCCACUCACGUCAGGAAUAGGCUA